UGUCCUUAGAGAGGAAGAGGGAGAUGUCACAUGCACAGAGAAGGCAGUGAAGUGGAGGAGAGAUGUGGCCACAAGCCAAGGAGUGCCGAUAGCUGGAAAAGGCAAGGCGCGCCUUCUCCAGAGCCUCUGCAGGGAUCAUGGCCCCUGCCUACACUAUGAUUUCAGGCUUCUGGACCCGAGAACUGAGUAACUCAAGUCACCUUUACUGGAAAUCAGUUGGCUGAAGUACUGAAACUGCAGCAGUUCUUGAAGUUGAAGAAAAGGAGGUUCAGCACCUUGACCACAGGAGCGUGGCCCUUCCUUCCAAACCCUCUCCAGACGUACCCUCCCAGCAUUACUCGGGAAAGAUGCGGCAGCUCAAAGGCAAGCCCAAGAAGGAGACGUCCAAGGACAAGAAGGAGCGGAAGCAGGCCAUGCAGGAGGCCCGGCAGCAGAUUACCACGGUGGUGCUGCCCACGCUGGCCGUGGUUGUGCUCCUGAUCGUGGUGUUCGUGUAUGUGGCCACGCGCCCCGCCGUCACCGAGUGAGCGCAGGGGGCAGACUCCCCCAGCAGGGAGCCGAAGCCCGGGAGGGGAGGGGGAAAGCGAAAGAAAAAUGGCUUUCGUAUUCAGAGAUUUUUCCUGAUGCUGAGCUCUAAGCUGGAGCACCCUGUCUUCUCUGGUCUUUGACUUGAUUAAAGUUUCUCCAAUUUCCCUGGGAGGGAAUAGGGAACGUUUUAUCAGUGAAUGUGCCAUACACCUUAUGGUCCACUUCAUGUGCCUUUCAGACUUCAAAGCAGUGUGUGUGUGUGUUUCUUUUUCACUCCUGAAAUCGAUAAUGUAGCUCCACCUGGUGAGAGGAGGAAUCUUCUGGGUCAUGAAUCAGUUGGAAUCAGUGCUCACCCCAUCCCCAUUGUUUAGAACAUGACUCUUUGCCUACAUGUGGUUCACGAUUUCCAAAGGGACUGUAUUUCUUCUCUGUGCUUAAUGUGAUUUGAAAUAUGUCGACUCAAAAGUGAAAUAUUUAUUUUUUGAAUAAAGGAGAUAAUAGCCUUAAA